GUGGGCAUGAGUGAGCCUUGUGGAAAACUGGAAGAAGAAUUUUAGAUAGAAAGAACUGCCAGUGCAAAGGCUCUGAGUCAAGAUGUACCUGCUGUGUUUGAGGAACCACAGGAAGCCAGUACUGCAGGAGGAGAAUAGACUGGAGGGGCAAGGGGAGAAGCAAGGAGACCAUUAUGAGACUAUAGGUAGCCCAGGCUGGUAGCAGGAGAGAUGAGGGUGAGAAGUGGUUGGAUUCUAAGGUGGAGUGGAGAAGAUUUGCUCAUGAAUUGGUCAUAAACUCUGAGAGAAAUAAAGGAAUCAAAGAUGACUCCAAGCUCUUUGGCCUUAGCCAAUGGAAGAAUGGAGUUGGCAAAAAUGGAGAAGAUGGUAGGAAAAGCAGACGUGGGUUGUAUGUAUAGGGUCAGAUCAGGAGUUAGGUUUUAGACAUGUUAGAUUUCAGAUGCAAAUUAGACAUCCAAAAGGAAGUGUCCAGCAGGCAUGUGUUUUAGGAGCCUGGGCUCAGAGGAGAGGUUUGAACCGCUGCAGAUGAUGCUGCCACAGCAUGGCCUGACAAGUGGUGUGUAGGUCCAUGCCCAGCACCUGAACCGACGAACCCUGGGCCGCCGAAGCAGAACAUGCCAACUUAACCACUCGACCACAGAGCUGGCCCUUUGUGAUCUUUUUAAUAUCUGCCUGAAUAGAAGACAGCUGAAUUUUCAUAUCUCUUCUGCAUUUAGUCUACUGUUAUAUAUUGCUUUGGUUGAAGGAGGUGAAGGAAAAUCAGCCUCACAGAGACAUGUAGGAAAAGGGACUUCCUCAGAGACCCCUUGAAGGGAUCUUGGGGGCCCCCAAGGAUCCUCAGACCACACUUUGGAAAUUGCUGAUUUAAAUUCAUAAAACUGGAUGAAAUCCCUAAGGGAGAAGAGAAGAGACCCAAGGACUCAGCCCCGGGCGUAGAGAUUUCAAGAGACCAGGGAGAUGGAGACAAACCAGCAAAGGAGACUGAGGUAGGAGGAAAACCAAGAGGUGGUGACCUGGAAGCCAAGCGGAGAAGGGUUUGUGCGUGUGUAUGCUGGUAGACCCUGAAUGGAGUGAGUAUUCCCACUGCCAAUUGUGCUGGGAUAGAAAAUCAGGCCAUAUUGGAGGCAGGCCUUAGAGGGAGGAACAUCUUUAAUGUUUAGAGGAGUUGUUGGGGUGGGAGAGGUUAGCUGGGCCCUGCCACAGGUGGGCAAGCAGGAGCUGGGCAGGGAGGUGAUUUAUAAGCAUCCCUGACAAGGAAUCUAGGCCUCAGAGCUUUGAGCUUAAAUGCUACCAGACACCUUCUAUCUGCAGUCCUUCCCUUCGAUUAACACCAAGUGCUUUAACAAAUUGUGAGAUUUAAGAGGAAGGGCAAGUUUGAGCUUAGGAUGGAGCAGCAUUGAGAAGGCUGAUUCCCCACUCCUUCAUCCUUGUUCCAGUCCCUCCAAGCCAGACUGAUGGACAAGCCAGUGGCCUGAGGGAGGUGGCACAACCUGGGGCUGCAGGUGGAGACCGAAGAAGAUUCAUUGCAGUGUCUUGGCACAGGGACAACAGCAGGGUGCCUUCACAAGGAAGACCAGGGAGAAGAACUCAGCAGCCCUGGUCCUGAGCUCACAUUGACAGCUCUUCUGUGAGGGGCUGAGUCAUGUGGAGCUUGGCAUCCCCACUCUCUGGUAACCCAUCACUGUAUGACCUUGUGAAGUAGCCUCAGGCCAGAGUGGCCAGGGCAGCACUGGGAGUUCCUAAGAUGGAGACAGGGCAGCAGCAUUUCCCCAGCUGAUCUCCCCUGUGAACUGCUGGUCUAGAGGCACGUUAAGGGAUUGGUAUUCCAGGAAACACAUGCUGAUUCAUGCAGAUAUAAAACCAGAGGAGAUGGAAGGGACCUCUGAGGAUAUGUUGGUUCACUGGUUCUCAUCUGGGGGCAUUGGAAUCACCUGGGUACUUGAAAAUACAGAGCCUUGGGCCCCAUCCAGACCUACUGAAUUAGAAUCUCUGAUGACGGUGAGGGUCUGGCAUGCAUAUUAUUAUUACUUUUUUUUUUUUUUUGAGGAAGAUUAGCCCUGAGCUAACAUCUGCUGCCAAUCCUCCUCUUUUUGCUGAGAAAGACUGGCCCUGAGCUAACAUCUGUGCCCACCUUCCUCUACUUUAUAUGUGGGACGUCUACCACAGCACGGCUUGCCAAGCGGUGCCAUGUCCGCACCUGGGAUCUGAACCGGCGAACCCCGGGCACUGAAGCAGAACGUGCG
rnacentral:lncRNA from 1 species